UUUUCUUAUGGUCACAUUAGCAAUUGUCAAUGAACAGCUCAUUAUAUUGCUUGUUACCAGGUUUACGAGGAGCUGCAAUUCUUAAAUCAAGAGCCUUGGAUCAUUCCUCUCCUAGGAUCCCAGAGAUGCUCACUGCAGGCACGCGAAUAUGGAUAAUAAUGCCCUCAGGUAAGAAUCGUAUUUCCUGAAACCUUCAAAACAUAGAAUCAGAAGAUGCUUUUUUCACUCCGUUUCCUACCUGCCUAAAUGUUAUACUUUGAGUUUCCUGUUAUAACACGACAGGACAUAAAGAGGACAAAUGGGUGACCCUACACCUGAAGCAAAACCAGCUCAUACUGAGCCUCAAAAGGAAGUAUUUUGGAGCUUUAACAACUUCAAAAGAAUGUAAACUACCUAUAUAUUCGGUUUCUUUCAUUGUUGCUUCAAAACUUGAUGGUUCUCACCUAUAUUGUGCUCCUAAGACUAACAAAUUACCCUUAUGCAGACAAGCUUAUCAACAUCAUAAGAGAAUGUUUUGAGGCUCAAGACGAGUACUUUGUUAGCUUGAAGACGAACAAUGGCAUCAUCAAGCUUCUUUUCAAAGAUGAAACGCAAUCAAGCAUCUGGAUAUCUACCAUUUCCAGUGUCUUAAUAUCCUCUUGAGAAAGAGGUACAAAGCAUUUGACAAGUCUAAUAAUAUUUCUUGAAAUCAUGCUCAACCUCGUAUAUCAAAACUAGAUGUUACAACUUCCCGUCCCACAAUGUAAUUAUAUAUGUAAAACACAAGUUUUACACAAACCAGCAGUUGAAAAAAGGAAUAAAUGCGCUGAAGUAGAGAAACAGUUCAAAGUCACAAAUGUGUGACAAAAUAUCCAGUAGAAAUUUACAGCAAGCAUCUUUUAUUUUUCCCUGAGCAAUGGUUAUGAUAAAUGUUUCUAUGAACAAUGAAAUGGACCAAAAACCAUAAACGUGAAUAUCAGAUCAGGCUUAUAUGACACUUGGAAUAUGAGAUCUCAAGUCAGGCUAAUAUCAUUUAAUCAAACUUUACGUAAGCCUCUGACUCCUAUUUCAAAAAGGCAAUUUUAAUUGUGAGAUUAACCAUGAAAUGCUUGAUAUACAACACAUUGAGAGAUAGCAUAUCUAUCAAAUUUAUAAAGAAAACACUAUGAAAAAUUACCCUGAUGACCAGAUUAUUAAGCUGAAAGAGCCAUCCCUAGAGAGCAAAUCACGAGAAGGAUUAGAGUCCGCUGGUAAAUUUCCAGAUAUCAUUAAUAUUUUGGAAAAAACUCUCAAUUUAGCAACUCAACUCUUCAUAUUAGGAGUGAAAAGAAAUUCAUAUCUAUUUCAUACCAUGUAGAUUGAGAGGAAGCUUAUAAGUUCGGAAUUCUAGUUGUUUAAAGUUAGUGGAUUCUAAAUUACUACUAAUAAUUUAUACAUAUUGAAUGAAAUUCUUAGAUAAAUACAAGGUUUGGACCAAAACUAGAAAUUUCAAUCAAACCUGUAACCAUAUUCUAUUAAAAGGUAUUAACAUAAAGCAUUGAAUCUGAUAUUAUAACAAAAGGUCCCCUUUUUUUGGUCAUUGAGUAUUUGUUUUGUUUUAGAAGUAGUAAUCCUUUGAUGUAAUUUCCUAUUACAAAGCAAUAAGACAGUGGAGUCGGUACAAACUAUUGGACAUUAUGCCCUUCUACCCACUGUUUUGUGCCUUUUUAAAGUAUGUUUUUCAACUUUUAUUGGCUAGAAUUUUGGGAUCUUUAAACAAUACCUUAGCUUCUUCUUCCCAAAAACAUUUAAAUUGUCCUUAUGUACCCAACUUCAUCGAGCCAAGGCCGAAAAUUGAGAAUAUGAUUGUUUACCGACUUUUGUACUCAGAUCUCGUCUUGUAUUUGCUGCUGCUACUAUACCUACUAAAGACAAUCAGAUGGCUGACAAGGAGAAAACCUCCCCAAUAGAAAAAAUGCAGUGAACAGGGAAGGCCAAGUCAAAAUGCUAUCAGAAAUUACUGUUGUGAAUAAAACCCAACAAAAAUAAUAUUCACGGUAAUAAAAGCGGAAUAAUAACGUAGUAUCGAGAUACGGUAAUCAACAAGAAUAAAAAGAACAACAAGAACACAAAGAUUUUAAUGUGGAAAACCCUUCUGAAUAAGGGAAAAAAGUACGGGUCCGAGAGGAGCAAAGUAAUCCACAAUAAUGAGAAAUUUUAUACUCCGUAGUCCCGAGUAAAUACUAUAGGAACCACUAUACACUCAAAAGAAAUAACCCUCUUUUGAAAUUCUCACCUCACUACAAUAUCGCUCACAUUCUACACAGACUAUUUUUCUAUCUGUGAAAUAUUUGAAGCUUUG
rnacentral:lncRNA from 1 species